GGUAUUGACCCGGAAGUGGUAAGAACAUAUAAAACUGGAGCCCUGGUUGUUACCACGGCAACCCGUAGUCUGUUGCAUGCUGAGUUUGGGGGAGCAGAAGAGUCUCGCGGGGAUAGUCAGUGCGCAGGGAGACUAGCACAGGCCGGCAGAGAAGUGACCCAGCCCCGGAUUGCCUGGUAACCUUCCGUUCCCAGGAGGCUGCUGUGAGGCUCCUCUGGUAAUCAGUUCCCUGAGUCCAGGGUUUCCUAAUAGGAGCCCGUCUCCCUCCGGUUCACUUGAAGGGCUGGCUUCAUGGAGUAUAAUGGACCCACAGCCAUCUCCUUCCCCAACACCAACUCUGCCUGCAUUUUAGGCCAGGUUUGUAGGAGAGUUGAAUGAAGAUUGAAUGAAUGAAUGAUGAAAAGUACAAAAUGCCAUCACUUCACUUCUUUCAGGAAGACCCAGGACACUCUGCUGCAUCCUCCACCUGUUUGUGAAUUAAAUGUCCA
rnacentral:lncRNA from 10 species